GAUGAACGCUUGCUACAGGCUUAACACAUGCAAGUCGAGGGGUAACGAGAGGGAAGCUUGCUUUCCUUGUCGACGACCGGCGCACGGGUGAGUAACGCGUAUCCAACCUGCCCCCAACUAGGGAAUAACCUUGCGAAAGUAAGACUAAUACCCUAUAAUUUCCUCAGAUUUCAUCUGACGAGGAAUAAAGAUUUAUCGGUUGUGGAUGGGGAUGCGUCUGAUUAGCUUGUUGGCGAGGUAACGGCCCACCAAGGCAACGAUCAGUAGGGGUUUGUGGAGGAAGGUCCCCCACAUGGGAACUGGCACACGGUCCAAACUCCUACGGGAGGCAGCAGUGAGGAAUAGUGGUCAAUGGGCGGAAGCCUGAACCAGCCAAGUAGCGUGCAGGAUGACGGCCCUAUGGGUUGUAAACUGCUUUUAUACAGGAAUAAAGUUAGCCACGUGUGGUUAUUUGUAGGUACUGUAUGAAUAAGGACCGGCUAAUUCCGUGCCAGCAGCCGCCGUAA
rnacentral:rRNA from 1 species